AGACUAAGAGCCUGUCCUGUUCCUGUCAAUCAGACACGCAGUGUCAACCAAUGAACCAAAGAUGCGUGAGGGAGGGCCGAGCUAACUCACUCACAGUCACACACUUAGCAGCCGAGGAGAGAGGAAGGACAGCUGUGAAAACAACAGCUGGAAAAUGAGUUGGAAGCACAGUAGCAUUUGGAUGCAUUUUAAUAACGUAGACAAUGUUAGAGUACAGUGUAGAAUUUGCCAAAACAAAAUCUCAUAUAAAGUCGGUGCUAAGCACAACCUACAGCGGCAAAUGAGAACUGUGCACCCAACUGUGAAGCUAGCUGUAGUGGAGCUUCGAGAAACUAGCGGGCCUGCUAGUGAUAGUGGUGGAGCCAGCGUAUCCACUCAGUCAAGUAGGCCUACUCCGCGACCCACAGCAACGCGCCUUCUAUGGACCAGUUUAUGCCAAAGUCUUUGUCUGUAGCAAAACAAGGCCAAAUUGAUAUUGCCUUGGCUAAAAUAAUUGCCACCGAUUUCCAGACAUUUUCGAUUGUGGAGGACAGAGGUUUUAGAAAUUAUAGCAAUAGUCUAAAUCCAAUGUACACAAUUCCAAGCAGGAAAACCCUUUCAAAAUCACUUAUUCUACAACUGUACGAGAGCACACAGGCUUCAAUGCGGGAAAGACUCCAAAAAGCUACUGCAGUUUGCCUUACCACUGACUGCUGGAAAUCAAGGGUAACCCACUUCUUACAUGUCAAUUACAUGUCACUUCAUUGAAGAUUUUUCGAUGUCUAGCUGUCUUCUGGACUGCUUUGAGCGACAGACACACCUCAGAGAACUUGGCAGAGGAACUGUUGAGAGUCGCCAGAGAAUGGCAAGUAGAUGGAAAAGUUGUCUGUUGUGUUAGUGACAAUGCAGCUAACAUAACCAAAGCCAUGAAAAUGUUAAAAUGGACCCAUCAUCCAUGUCUUGCCCACACAAUCAACCUGAUUGUAAGAGAUGCUCUGAAGGUGAUGAAGCCCACUGUGGACAAAGUGAAAGCAGCUGUGGAAUACUUCCACAGGAGCACAGUAGGUGCUGAAAAACUAAAGUCUACACAACGCCAGAUGGGGAUGCCUGAGCUGAGGCCUAAACAAGACUGCACUACAAGAUGGAAUUCAACAUUUUAUAUGUUGAAGCGGUUUCUUGAGUCAAAGGAUGCCAUCAUCUCUACCCUGACCAUUGUCAAUGCACCUGUUGAUGCUCUGACCCAAGAGGAAUGGGAGGUGGUGGAGGAGGUGUGCAGAGUCCUGGAACCCUUUGAGCAGCGAUGAGUCAGCCUCAAAAAUGAUACUCUGCAGCGAAUCACAGCCAGCCACCAGAGAGAAGCAAAUGUAACCACAGGACAUGUGACAGAGUUGAUGGAUACCCUAUGUUCAUCAAUGGACAGAAAGUUCCACAGAAUGGAAUAUAAUCACGUGCUAUCAGAAACCGCUGCACUUGAUGUCACGUCCUGACCCUAUUUCACGUUUAAUAAAUAUGUGGAACUACGAACACGCUGCAUUUUGGUCCGCUCCUUCGAACAGCCGUGACAGAAUAACCCACCAUAAAAGGACCAAUCAGCGUGGAAUGGAGCAGCAGGAGAAAUGGACUUGGGAGGACAUACUGGAGGGAAAAGGAUCCUGGACGUGGGAGGAAAUCCAGGCCGGUAUGGAUCGCCUCCGAUGGGAACAGGUGGAAGCAGAGAGGGAAGUACAGCGACGAGAUCAACAGGCAAGGCUACGAAGGAAGCACGAGAGGCAUUCCCCUCAAAAAUGUUUGGGGGGGGCACAUGGGAAGUUUGGCAGAGUCAGGGUGGAGACCUGAGCCAACUCCCCGUGCUUACCGUGGGGAGCGGGUGACGAGGCAAGCACCGAGCUAUGCGGUGAUGCGCACUGGAUCGCCAGUGAGCAUUCACAGGUCGGUGCGAUCUGUGCCCGCGCCCUGCAUUAGUCGAGCUAGGUUGAGCAUCCAGCCAGAACGGGUUAUGCCAGCUCUACGCUCGAGAUCUCCAGUGCGCCUCCACGGCCCAGUAUAUCCUGUGCCUGCCCCACGUACCCGACAUCCAGUGCGCCUGCCCAGUCCGGGGUGUCCUGUUCCUGCUCCCCGCACUCACCCUGAGGUGCGUGUUAUUAGUCUGGCGCCUCCUAUGCCAGCCCCACGCAUCAGGCCUCCUGUGCGCAUCCAUAACCCGGUACAGCCAGUGCCUGCUGUGAGCACUCGGCCCUUAGUGCGUCUCCCCAGUCCGGUGAGAGCGAUUCCAGCUCCUCGCACUCUUCCUCCAGUGCGCAUCCAUAACCCGGUACAGCCAGUGCCUGCUGUGAGCACUCGGCCCUUAGUGCGUCUCCCCAGUCCGGUGAGACCGAUUCCUGCUCCUCGCACUCUCCCUCCAGUGCGCCUCCAUAGCCCAGUACAUCCUGUGCCUGCUCCCCGCAUUCGCCCUGAGGUGCGUGUUGCUAGUCUGGUGCCUCCUAUGCCAGCUCCACGCAUCAGGCCUCUAGGGCGCCUGCCCAGUCCGGGGUGUCCUGUGCCUGCUCCCCGCACUCGACCUGAGGUCUGGUUCCUCCGGACAUACAGAAGCGGGGGGGAUCAGCGGGCGGUGGGGGUACUACGCCCGGAACCAGAGCCGCCGCCAUAGACAUUAGUCACCCACCCUACCCUCCCUUUGUGUUUUGUGGUUGUUUUGUUGUUGGGUUUUUUUGUUU
rnacentral:lncRNA from 1 species